UCGAUUUGGAGUUUGUUGCCUUGAGUGAUGGGCUCCGAAGCUAACGCGAUAAAUCGACCGCCUGGGGAGUACGGCCGCAAGGUUAAAACUCAAAUGAAUUGACGGGGGCCCGCACAAGCGGUGGAGCAUGUGGUUUAAUUCGAUGCAACGCGAAGAACCUUACCUGGUCUUGACAUCCACAGAAUCUUGCAGAGAUGCGAGAGUGCCUUCGGGAACUGUGAGACAGGUGCUGCAUGGCUGUCGUCAGCUCGUGUUGUGAAAUGUUGGGUUAAGUCCCGCAACGAGCGCAACCCUUAUCCUUUGUUGCCAGCGAUUUGGUCGGGAACUCAAAGGAGACUGCCGUUGAUAAAGCGGAGGAAGGUGGGGACGACGUCAAGUCAUCAUGGCCCUUACGACCAGGGCUACACACGUGCUACAAUGGCGUAUACAAAGGGAGGCGACCUCGCGAGAGCAAGCGGACCUCACAAAGUACGUCUAAGUCCGGAUUGGAGUCUGCAACUCGACUCCAUGAAGUCGGAAUCGCUAGUAAUCGUGAAUCAGAAUGUCACGGUGAAUACGUUCCCGGGCCU
rnacentral:rRNA from 1 species